rnacentral:pre_miRNA from 1 species
UAUAUACUCCCUCCGUUCGGAAAUACUUGUCAUCAAAAUGGAUAAAAGGGAUGUAUCUACAUGUAUUUUAGUUUUAGAUACAUCCCUUUUUGUCCAUUUUGAUGACAAGUAUUUUUGGAUGGAGGGAGUAUAAU